UACAGAGGGUGCGAGCGUUAAUCGGAUUUACUGGGCGUAAAGAGCGCGCAGGCGGUCGUUCAAGUCGCGUGUGAAAGCCCCCGGCUCAACUGGGGAGGGUCACGCGAUACUGAUCGACUCGAAGGCAGGAGAGGGUAGUGGAAUUCCCGGUGUAGUGGCGAAAUGCGUAGAUAUCGGGAGGAACACCAGUGGCGAAGGCGACUACCUGGCCUGUUCUUGACGCUGAGGCGCGAAAGCUAGGGGAGCAAACGGG
rnacentral:rRNA from 1 species